UCCGAUGAUGAUUAAAAAUUACUUUCGUUCUUCUGAAGUUAGCAAUGUGGAAGAACAAUUUGGAGACCUGAACUGAGGGGA
rnacentral:snoRNA from 1 species